CAGCGACCACCUGACCUCUGAGCGAGCGAACUGCCUGUCUUGAAAGUGCAGUCCCUAACGCGUGCGUCCGUGCCUGUCUCCCCGCAGCGAUAGACGGGGUCCCGUUUGUCCUGAGCGAGAAGUACGACACAGCCUCCAGAAACGCUCACGGGAUGGACAUAUCGUCCAUCAUCAUAAAGUCCAUCAUCGACAUCGAGAAUGAAUACGAGUACAGCUUCGUGACGGAACGGAACGCGGUUUCCCAGUCGCCUGCAGCCUGCAGCUGAGGGUCACCCACGACUCCCGCCGACGGCACGCGGCCUCCGACCAAACCCGCCGGCGAAGCCUCGUCGCAGCAGAAGGAAGUCGCCCGCCUCGUCAUCCCAGGCGCAGCGACGUUUCCACUCCCCCGUCGUUCCUUUCGCCCGA